rnacentral:lncRNA from 1 species
UGAGACAGGGUUUCUCUAUAUAGCCCUGGCUGUCCUGGAACUCACUUUGUAGACCAGGCUGGCCUCGAACUCAGAAAUCCACCUGCCUCUGCCUCCUGAGUGCUGGGAUUAAAGGCGUGCGCCACCACNCCCAGCCCAUUACUUUAUUUUUGUUUUUUGUUUUUUAACUUUAUGGGUAUGGGUGUUUUACCUAUAUGUAUAAUCUGUGUACCGGUCCCACAGACCCCUUCAAGGACACACUCCAGGAAGAUGCAAAGGUUCUAUCACCUCUGAAUUACACUGAGCUGGAGACCAAUCCUUUAAC